UGAGGAAUAUUGCGCAAUGGGGGAAACCCUGACGCAGCGACGCCGCGUGGGCGACGAAGGCCUUCGGGUCGUAAAGCCCUUUUAGCAGGGACGAGUGAGGACGGUACCUGCUGAAUAAGUCUCGGCUAACUACGUGCCAGCAGCCGCGGUAAAACGUAGGAGGCGAGCGUUAUCCGGAUUCACUGGGCGUAAAGCGCGCGUAGGCGGUUGGUUAAGUCGGACGUGAAAGCCCCUGGCUCAACUGGGGGAGGCCGUUCGAUACUGGCCGGCUUGAGGGUGAGAGAGGGAAGUGGAAUUCCCGGUGUAGCGGUGGAAUGCGUAGAGAUCGGGAGGAACACCAGUGGCGAAGGCGGCUUCCUGGCUCACUUCUGACGCUGAGAGCGCGAAAGCGUGGGGAGCAAACGGGAUUAGAUACCCCGGUAGUCCACGCUCUAAACGAUGAGGGCUAGGUGUUGGUGGGAUUACCCGAUCUGUGCCGAAGCAAACGCGUUAAGCCCUCCGCCUGGGGACUACGAACGCAAG
rnacentral:rRNA from 1 species